GUAAACUUUUAGAGAAACUGUACCAGCUUCAAGCUUAGACUCAAUUUGAAGUAACAAAACCUUAAAAAAAUGUACUAGCUGCCUAUACAGAGCAUGAAGCCUGACUUGAGUUUUCUUGCUAUUUUUUCAAAAGUUACUUUGGGCAAGAGUGGCUGUGGGCCCAUGAUAUGGCUGUUUCUGGAUUUCUCAACUUAGGAUGCACACUUUACUCCCUAAAGGAUAGCACUGAUAACAUUUCAUUGAGGAGAAACCCUUGAAUGGCAGAUGACUAUACUGAAGUGCCAACUGAAGCCCAGGAAACGGAAAUUAAUUGUUCAAGAAAAUACACGAAGGUUGAACUUGACUUGACAUCAAAUGGCAAGAUAAUAUUAUGUCGUUAUCCUAUAGGUAUUUCCCCAUGAGUAUAUAAAGCCUAGCAUUUGACCAGAUCCUAUCUAUAACCAAGAAGAAACACAAGAUCCAGUGCAAAAUGCCAAAUUAGAAAGAAAAGGUAAAGCUGCUGAGCAAGAGUUCGUGAGAAAACAGCUUAGCCCUCAUGGACUUUAUCAUCAAUAGUUGAGACUCAUAUUGUUGUUUCUUGUCAUUAAAGAUAAAAUAUCAUCUUUUGUUCAUUUUACCACUUGAAGAAAUGAAGUAGAAAAUAUUUGCCAGUGUUAUACAGGAAACAUUUAACAAAGUAUUUUUCAAUAUUAAAAAAAAAAAGAUGGAGAGUUGGGUAAUGAUGAACAUAAUAGCAUAAAAAUAAAGCAUGAAGCAUAAAAUAACUUCA
rnacentral:lncRNA from 1 species